rnacentral:rRNA from 1 species
GAUUAACGCUGGCGGCGUGCAUAACACAUGCAAGUCGAACGAUGAAACUUUAAUGAACCCUUCGGGGAGAAUUAAAGCGGAUUAGUGGCGAACGGGGGAGUAACGCGUGAGUAACCUGCCUUACACAAGGGGAUAGCCUUUGGAAACGAAGAAUAAUACCCUAUAAAACCAUAAAAGUACAUGCAAUUAUGGUCAAAGUGAUAGCGGUGUAAGAUGGACUUGCGUCUGAUUAGCUAGUUGGUGAGAUAAAAGCCCACCAAGGCAACGAUCAGUAGCGGGCUGGGGAGCGUGUACGGCCACAUUGAGACUGGGACACGGCCCAGACUCCUACGGGAGGCAGCAGUGGGGAAAUUUGCACAAGGGGGGAAACCCUGAUGCGGCGAGGCCGCGUGAUUUAGAAGGCCUUCGGGUUGUAAAAAUCUUUUGUAUAGGAAGAAAAUGACGGUACUAUACAAAUAAGGUCCGGCUAAUUACGUG